GACGAACGCUGGCGGCGUGCUUAACACAUGCAAGUCGAACGAUGAACCCGGAGCUUGCUCCGGUGGAUUAGUGGCGAACGGGUGAGUAACACGUGAGUAACCUGCCCUGAACUCUGGGAUAAGCGUUGGAAACGACGUCUAAUACCGGAUAGGACCUUGGGUCGCAUGAUCUGGGGUGGAAAGUUUUUCGGUUUGGGAUGGACUCGCGGCCUAUCAGCUUGUUGGUGAGGUAAUGGCUCACCAAGGCGUCGACGGGUAGCCGGCCUGAGAGGGUGACCGGCCACACUGGGACUGAGACACGGCCCAGACUCCUACGGGAGGCAGCAGUGGGGAAUAUUGCACAAUGGGCGCAAGCCUGAUGCAGCAACGCCGCGUGCGGGAUGACGGCCUUCGGGUUGUAAACCGCUUUUAGUAGGGAAGAAGGGCUUCGGCUUGACGGUACCUGCAGAAAAAGGACCGGCUAACUACGUGCCAGCCGCCGCCGUAAAAC
rnacentral:rRNA from 1 species